GACGAACGCUGGCGGCGCGCCUAACACAUGCAAGUCGAACGAGCGAGAGAGAGCUUGCUUUCUCGAGCGAGUGGCGAACGGGUGAGUAACGCGUGAGGAACCUGCCUCAAAGAGUGGAAUAGCCUUCCGAAAGGAAGAUUAAUACCGCAUAAUGUUGAAAGAUGGCAUCAUCAUUUAACCAAAGGAGCAAUCCGCCAUGAGAUGGACCCGCGGCGCAUUAGCUAGUUGGUGGGGUAACGGCCUACCAAGGCGACGAUGCGUAGCCGACCUGAGAGGGUGAUCGGCCACAUUGGGACUGAGACACGGCCCAG
rnacentral:rRNA from 1 species